AAGAUUUUAAGUUAAUAAAACUAAAAGUUUUCAAAGCUUUAAAUAAGAAUUGAUUUUCUUAAAUCUUG
rnacentral:tRNA from 1 species